rnacentral:miRNA from 1 species
UUGCAAGCCAGACAUUUCCUUU